CUUGUUUCUCCUGGGGACGCUCUUCUUAAGGGAGGAGACCACCCCUCAUAUUGUCUUAUGCCCAGUUUCUGCCUCCAAAGAAAGAAAAAGUAAAAACUAAAAGGCAGAAAUGAAAUCCACAAGCAGACAGCCAGGCACCACACCCUGGGCCUGGUAGUUAAAGAUCGACCCCUGACGUAAUUGGUUAUAUUAUCUACAGAUUGCAGACAUUGUAUAGAAAAGCACUGUGAAAAUCCCUAUCCUGUUUUGUUCCGAUCUAAUUACGGGUGAAUGCAGCCCCCCAGUCAAGUACCCCCUGCUUGCUCAAUCGAUCACGACCCUCUCACACACACUCCGUUAGAGUUGUGAGCCCUUAAAAGGGACAGGAAUUGCUCACUCGGGGAGCUCGGCUCUUGAGACAGGAGUCUUGCCAAUGCCCCUGGCCGGAUAAACCCCUUCUUUCUUUAACUCGGUGUCUGAGGAGUUUUGUCUGUGGCUCGUCCUGCUACAUUUCUUGGUUCCCUGACUGGGAAGCGAGGUGAUUGGUGGAUGGUGGAGGCAGCUCCUUAGGCAGCUUAAGCCUGUCCUGUGGAACAUCCCUGUGGGAGACUGUGACCAGACCAAGCGACACGGAUCCUGAGAGCGCUCCCGGGUAGGCAUUUGCCCCGGUGGGACACCUCACCACAGCAGUGUGUGGCAGGCCCCCGUGGAGAAUCAACGCAGUGGCUGAACACCGGGAAGGAAUGGGCACUUGGAGUCUGGACAUCUAAAACUUGAAUUAGAGGAGACAGCACUGAUUGCAGUGACAGAAGCGGUGCCAGCUAACUCCCCACCAUCAAAAGUAUCUUCUGCUGUAGCCUGGCACAAGCUUCACACUUGGAAGAUUAAUAAAUAUUGGUUGAAUUAAUGAAGAAAGAAAGGAAGAAAACAGCAGAGGAAGGCUCAUGGGAAAUGAUUUACCAUUUAAUAAAGCUUCACACAGAAAAUACAAAGGAUGAACUUCAAAGAGGAAGAAAUUGAAAGAAAGAAUGUGUGAGCAGCAAGGACCAAUUGUACAUGGAGGAACUGAGGAAAUGUGGAUAAAUCAAAGUAAGAUGAGUUGGCGGGGGGUGGAGCCAAGAUGGCCGAAUGGGAACAGCUCCAGUCUACAGCUCCCAGCAUGAGCGAUGCAGAAGACGGGUGAUUUCUGCAUUUCCAACUGAGGUACUGUGUUCAUCUCACUGGGGAUUGUCGGAAAGUGGGUGCAGGACAGUGGGUGCAGUGCACCGAGCAUGAGCUGAAGCAGGGCUAGGCAUUGCCUCACCCGGGAAGCGCAAGGGAUCAGGGAAUUCCCUUUCCUAAUCAAAGAAAGGGGUGACAGAAGGCACCUGGAAAAUUGGGUCACUCCCACCCUAAUACUGCGCUUUUCCAGUGGUCUUAGUAAAUGGCACACCAGGAGAUUAUAUCCCGCACCUGGCUCAGAGGGUCCUAUGCCCACGG
rnacentral:lncRNA from 10 species